UUAAGCGACUAAGCGUACACGGUGGAUGCCCUGGCAGUCAGAGGCGAUGAAGGACGUGCUAAUCUGCGAUAAGCGUCGGUAAGGUGAUAUGAACCGUUAUAACCGGCGAUUUCCGAAUGGGGAAACCCAGUGUGUUUCGACACACUAUCAUUAACUGAAUCCAUAGGUUAAUGAGGCGAACCGGGGGAACUGAAACAUCUAAGUACCCCGAGGAAAAGAAAUCAACCGAGAUUCCCCCAGUAGCGGCGAGCGAACGGGGAGCAGCCCAGAGCCUGAAUCAGUGUGUGUGUUAGUGGAAGCGUCUGGAAAGGCGCGCGAUACAGGGUGACAGCCCCGUACACAAAAAUGCACAUGCUGUGAGCUCGAUGAGUAGGGCGGGACACGUGGUAUCCUGUCUGAAUAUGGGGGGACCAUCCUCCAAGGCUAAAUACUCCUGACUGACCGAUAGUGAACCAGUACCGUGAGGGAAAGGCGAAAAGAACCCCGGCGAGGGGAGUGAAAAAGAACCUGAAACCGUGUACGUACAAGCAGUGGGAGCACGCUUAGGCGUGUGACUGCGUACCUUUUGUAUAAUGGGUCAGCGACUUAUAUUCUGUAGCAAGGUUAACCGAAUAGGGGAGCCGAAGGGAAACCGAGUCUUAACUGGGCGUUAAGUUGCAGGGUAUAGACCCGAAACCCGGUGAUCUAGCCAUGGGCAGGUUGAAGGUUGGGUAACACUAACUGGAGGACCGAACCGACUAAUGUUGAAAAAUUAGCGGAUGACUUGUGGCUGGGGGUGAAAGGCCAAUCAAACCGGGAGAUAGCUGGUUCUCCCCGAAAGCUAUUUAGGUAGCGCCUCGUGAAUUCAUCUCCGGGGGUAGAGCACUGUUUCGGCAAGGGGGUCAUCCCGACUUACCAACCCGAUGCAAACUGCGAAUACCGGAGAAUGUUAUCACGGGAGACACACGGCGGGUGCUAACGUCCGUCGUGAAGAGGGAAACAACCCAGACCGCCAGCUAAGGUCCCAAAGUCAUGGUUAAGUGGGAAACGAUGUGGGAAGGCCCAGACAGCCAGGAUGUUGGCUUAGAAGCAGCCAUCAUUUAAAGAAAGCGUAAUAGCUCACUGGUCGAGUCGGCCUGCGCGGAAGAUGUAACGGGGCUAAACCAUGCACCGAAGCUGCGGCAGCGACGCUNNNNNNNNNNNNNNNNNNNNNNNNNNNNNNNNNNNNNNNNNNNNNNNNNNNNNNNNNNNNNNNNNNNNNNNNNNNNNNNNNNNNNNNNNNNNNNNNNNNNNCUGUGAGGUAUGCUGGAGGUAUCAGAAGUGCGAAUGCUGACAUAAGUAACGAUAAAGCGGGUGAAAAGCCCGCUCGCCGGAAGACCAAGGGUUCCUGUCCAACGUUAAUCGGGGCAGGGUGAGUCGACCCCUAAGGCGAGGCCGAAAGGCGUAGUCGAUGGGAAACAGGUUAAUAUUCCUGUACUUGGUGUUACUGCGAAGGGGGGACGGAGAAGGCUAUGUUGGCCGGGCGACGGUUGUCCCGGUUUAAGCGUGUAGGCUGGUUUUCCAGGCAAAUCCGGAAAAUCAAGGCUGAGGCGUGAUGACGAGGCACUACGGUGCUGAAGCAACAAAUGCCCUGCUUCCAGGAAAAGCCUCUAAGCAUCAGGUAACAUCAAAUCGUACCCCAAACCGACACAGGUGGUCAGGUAGAGAAUACCAAGGCGCUUGAGAGAACUCGGGUGAAGGAACUAGGCAAAAUGGUGCCGUAACUUCGGGAGAAGGCACGCUGAUAUGUAGGUGAAGUCCCUCGCGGAUGGAGCUGAAAUCAGUCGAAGAUACCAGCUGGCUGCAACUGUUUAUUAAAAACACAGCACUGUGCAAACACGAAAGUGGACGUAUACGGUGUGACGCCUGCCCGGUGCCGGAAGGUUAAUUGAUGGGGUUAGCGCAAGCGAAGCUCUUGAUCGAAGCCCCGGUAAACGGCGGCCGUAACUAUAACGGUCCUAAGGUAGCGAAAUUCCUUGUCGGGUAAGUUCCGACCUGCACGAAUGGCGUAAUGAUGGCCAGGCUGUCUCCACCCGAGACUCAGUGAAAUUGAACUCGCUGUGAAGAUGCAGUGUACCCGCGGCAAGACGGAAAGACCCCGUGAACCUUUACUAUAGCUUGACACUGAACAUUGAGCCUUGAUGUGUAGGAUAGGUGGGAGGCUUAGAAGUGUGGACGCCAGUCUGCAUGGAGCCGACCUUGAAAUACCACCCUUUAAUGUUUGAUGUUCUAACGUUGACCCGUAAUCCGGGUUGCGGACAGUGUCUGGUGGGUAGUUUGACUGGGGCGGUCUCCUCCUAAAGAGUAACGGAGGAGCACGAAGGUUGGCUAAUCCUGGUCGGACAUCAGGAGGUUAGUGCAAUGGCAUAAGCCAGCUUGACUGCGAGCGUGACGGCGCGAGCAGGUGCGAAAGCAGGUCAUAGUGAUCCGGUGGUUCUGAAUGGAAGGGCCAUCGCUCAACGGAUAAAAGGUACUCCGGGGAUAACAGGCUGAUACCGCCCAAGAGUUCAUAUCGACGGCGGUGUUUGGCACCUCGAUGUCGGCUCAUCACAUCCUGGGGCUGAAGUAGGUCCCAAGGGUAUGGCUGUUCGCCAUUUAAAGUGGUACGCGAGCUGGGUUUAGAACGUCGUGAGACAGUUCGGUCCCUAUCUGCCGUGGGCGCUGGAGAACUGAGGGGGGCUGCUCCUAGUACGAGAGGACCGGAGUGGACGCAUCACUGGUGUUCGGGUUGUCAUGCCAAUGGCACUGCCCGGUAGCUAAAUGCGGAAGAGAUAAGUGCUGAAAGCAUCUAAGCACGAAACUUGCCCCGAGAUGAGUUCUCCCUGACCCUUUAAGGGUCCUGAAGGAACGUUGAAGACGACGACGUUGAUAGGCCGGGUGUGUAAGCGCAGCGAUGCGUUGAGCUAACCGGUACUAAUGAACCGUGAGGCUUAACCU
rnacentral:rRNA from 1 species